rnacentral:misc_RNA from 1 species
AAGUCGUAACAAGGUCAUCGUAGGUGAACCUGCGGUGGGAUCAUUCAAGAAAAUCCCAACACACUUGGGGCGUGGCUGGCCGAAAAAGAGACUCUGGUUUCCCAGUAGGCCGCUGCGAUCCUGAGGGGAUAUAAAUCCAAUGGGAAACCUUGUGUGCACUGUCGCUCUGCGAUCUCUUUUGGCGCGCAGUCGAGUUGUCGCUCGUCGGGCGGCGGCCGGAGGUGCGCCAGAGACUUUGAUUUACUACGUACGUCUGAAAUUUAAUUAAUAAUGAAAAUACAACUUUCAACAACGGAUCUCUUGGCUCUC